GUGCAAAGGUAGCAUAAUCACUUGUUCCUUAAAUAGGGACUUGUAUGAAUGGCUUAACGAGGGUUUAACUGUCUCUUACUCUUAAUCAGUGAAAUUGACCUUCCCGUGAAGAGGCGGGAAUACAAUAAUAAGACGAGAAGACCCUAUGGAGCUUAAAUUUACUAGUCUAUCAUACACUCUAUUUCACCCACGGGAAAUAAAACUUAUGAAAACAGACUACAAAUUUUGGUUGGGGUGACCUCGGAGUAUAAAAAAACCUCCGAAUGAUAUUAAUCCAGACUAUGAACCUGUCUAAAUUUUAAUUCAUAAAUUGACCCAAAAAUAUUUGAUCAACGGAACAAGUUACCCUAGGGAUAACAGCGCAAUCCUACUCAAGAGUUCAUAUCGACAGUCAGGGUUUACGACCUCGAUGUUGGAUCAGGACAUCCAAAUGGU
rnacentral:rRNA from 1 species